rnacentral:rRNA from 1 species
AGAGAGAGUUCAAGAGUACGUGAAACCGUUCAGGGGUAAGCGGAAAAGACCCGAAAGUUCGAACGGGGAGAUUCACGCUCUCACGUCCCGCAAGCACUGCCGCCUGCCGGACUAACCACACGUUCGGACCGACCGCGCUCCGGCGCGUGCGGCGAGAACUGACUGUUGGCUUGGCCUACGGCGGUAAGAUGCGGCGGUGGGCCGCAUUUCUCCCUCAGUAGGACGUCGCGACCCGUUGGGUUUGCGGCCUACGGCCCCGGACGGAGACCGGCGGUCGCACGGACUUCGGUCCAUCAGUGCGUUGCCGUCCGGACCCCGGGUGUCCCGGCCGAACGCCCGACGGUAUAUCAUGCAGGUGUUGAGCCGCCGAAAGGCGCCCUUGGCCGGUCGCAAGCGUGAUCGAUUGUCGGCGAUCUCGGACCCCUGGUCCGACUCCCGCAACGACCCGCUGUUGGCGCGCCGUGUCCUCGGGCAGGUGCCGAACACCGGACUGCGACGCUUCAGCUUUGGGUACUUAUCCGACCCGUCUUGAAACACGGACCAAGGAGUCUAACAUGUGCGCGAGUCAUUGGGUGAAAAACCUAAAGGCGCAAUGAAAUUGAAAGCUGUAACUUUUUUCAACCUAGGGAGGAUGAGCGUGUCUUGCCCAAUAGGCGGCGCUCCGCACUCCCGGGGCGUCUCAUUCUCAUUGCGAGACGAGGCGCACCCAGAGCGUACACGUUGGGACCCGAAAGAUGGUGAACUAUGCCUGGCCAGGACGAAGUCAGGGGAAACCCUGAUGGAGGUCCGUAGCGAUUCUGACGUGCAAAUCGAUCGUCGGAGCUGGGUAUAGGGGCGAAAGACUAAUCGAACCAUCUAGUAGCUGGUUCCCUCCGAAGUUUCCCUCAGGAUAGCUGGUGCUCAGGGAACAAGAAUCUCAUGCGGUAAAGCGAAUGAUUAGAGGCCUUGGGGCCGAAACGACCUCAACCUAUUCUCAAACUUUAAAUGGGUGAGAUCUCCGGCAUUCUUGGACAUUGGUAAAUGAUGCCGGAGUCUCGGAUCCAGAGUAUCAAGUGGGCCAAUUUUGGUAAGCAGAACUGGCGCUGUGGGAUGAACCAAACGCAGAGUUAAGGCGCCUAAACGACGCUCAUGGGAAACCAUGAAAGGCGUUGGUUGCUUAAGACAGCAGGACGGUGGCCAUGGAAGUCGGAAUCCGCUAAGGAGUGUGUAACAACUCACCUGCCGAAGCAACUAGCCCUGAAAAUGGAUGGCGCUGUAGCGUCGUGCCUAUACUCUGCCGUCAACGGCACAGGGGGCGGCACACUAGCCUGUGUCGGGCCGUUAUGCCUUGACGAGUAGGAGGGUCGCUGCGAUGUGCGCAGAAGGGUCUGGGCGUGAGCCUGCCUGGAGCCAUCGUCGGCGCAGAUCUU